rnacentral:rRNA from 1 species
AUUGAACGCUGGCGGCAGGCCUAACACAUGCAAGUCGAGCGGAUGAAGGGAGCUUGCUCCUGGAUUCAGCGGCGGACGGGUGAGUAAUGCCUAGGAAUCUGCCUGGUAGUGGGGGAUAACGUCCGGAAACGGGCGCUAAUACCGCAUACGUCCUGAGGGAGAAAGUGGGGGAUCUUCGGACCUCACGCUAUCAGAUGAGCCUAGGCCGGAUUAGCUAGUUGGUGUGGUAAAGGCCUACCAAGGCGACGAUCCGUAACUGGUCUGAGAGGAUGAUCAGUCACACUGGAACUGAGACACGGUCCAGACUCCUACGGGAGGCAGCAGUGGGGAAUAUUGGACAAUGGGCGAAAGCCUGAUCCAGCCAUGCCGCGUGUGUGAAGAAGGUCUUCGGAUUGUAAAGCACUUUAAGUUGGGAGGAAGGGAAGUAAGUUAAUACCUUGCUGUUUUGACGUUACCAACAGAAUAAGCACCGGCUAACUUCGUG